AACAAAAGGAAGGACAUCCAACCCCCAGCACCCUGGAAGUCUGGAAGUGUCCAAGGCGAGGUUCGAUGGGGUUCUGAGCAACCUGGGCUAGUGGGAGGUGGCCCUGCCCAUGACAGGGGUUGGAUCGAGAUGAUCUUUACCCUUCCAACCCCAACCAUUCUGUGAGUUUGGCAGUUUUAAAACCAUUGAGUUCACUUGUCUCAAGAUUAUCCCUGAAUCUUGUCGUUGCAAACCUCCUCUACAUGGAGAAGAUGCUUCUCAGCUUCUGGUCCCUGGUCAAAGCAGUCUGUUCCAAGAAACAGAAACCUGGUUCUGCCAGAGGAGCACCUCUGGUGCUGUAAGGGAUUUGUCCAACUGCCUGCACCUGAGGAGCCUUUCAAGUGUGCUCAGGUGUGGCUGCAGGGAAGACUGGGGCCAAAGGUGACAACAAACUGCUUAAAGCAGCCCUAGGUGGGGGUGGGGCAGGUGCAUGGCAAGGAGUCAAUUUGGUGCUGGUAGAGGUGGUUGUGGGAGCUCUGGUGAGCUGCUGCUUCCCUGUCUGUGAAAAGUUAGCAGCUGAAGAGCUAGCAGUGUCUGUGAAAAGUUGCUCUUUUGCCUUUUUGCUAUCUAAAAUAUUUGUCAUGAGUUUUACAGGUUCAAGAAUGGAUGGUUUUGCGACCUGGAGUUUCCAUGAGCAGCUGAAGAAUUCUUCCCUGGAGACAUCUGGUUUCCUCUGGGAGCCCUGAGAGGGUUUUGGAUGAGGAAAACCUAUGCUGUUCUUGAACAUGAGGCACUUCUGAGGUGAGUAAGAUUCAGGACUGUGUGAGAAGCUGCUGCUCUCAGUUGGAUGCUGCACAGCUGAAUGAGCAGACUCAAGCCAGCUCUCAGAGGUGAAACAUGGGAAAAGAAGGUAAAUGCAUUCCUUAGUAUGGACCUACCAGAGUGGGGACUCUUAUCAGCCAAGUUGGGUGAUACACAAAAAGUUUGGUGGUCACUGCAAAUUUAGGUGAAUGCAAGGCAGCGGUUCAACUAGGUUAGUCCAGUGCAAGUGUAGUAAAGACAGAGCUAAACACUGAAAUAUUUGCAAGACUUCAGGAAACAUUCAGAGAACAGAGGCCUUGCUGCUUUGCAUCUCUGUUAGUGUUGCAUUGCCUAAAUUCCUGCAUAACCUGGAGGUUUGCCUCUUUCUUCCUUGAAUAGCUCUCUUGUGUUCCCAACACAUCUAAAAUUGAUUUUAUCAUCCUUAUGAAAUGACAGAAAUAAAAAAACCCUCAAAAGGCA
rnacentral:lncRNA from 1 species